UACGUAGGGGGCAAGCGUUGUCCGGAUUUAUUGGGCGUAAAGAGCGUGUAGGCGGCUUUACAGGUCCGUUGUGAAAACUCGAGGCUCAACCUCGAGACGCCGGUGGAAACCGUAAGGCGAGAGUCCGGAAGAGGAGAGUGGAAUUCCCGGUGUAGCGGUGGAAAUGCGCAGAUAUCGGGAAGAACACCCGUGGCGAAGGCGGCUCUCUGGGACGGUACUGACGCUGAGACGCGAAAGCGUGGGGAGCGAACAGG
rnacentral:rRNA from 1 species